CAGUGGGGAAUCUUCCGCAAUGGACGAAAGUCUGACGGAGCAACGCCGCGUGAGUGAUGACGGCCUUCGGGUUGUAAAGCUCUGUUAAUCGGGACGAAAGGCCUUCUUGCGAAUAGUUAGAAGGAUUGACGGUACCGGAAUAGAAAGCCACGGCUAACUACGUGCCAGCAGCCGCGGUAAUACGUAGGUGGCAAGCGUUGUCCGGAAUUAUUGGGCGUAAAGCGCGCGCAGGCGGAUUGGUCAGUCUGUCUUAAAAGUUCGGGGCUUAACCCCGUGAUGGGAUGGAAACUGCCAAUCUAGAGUAUCGGAGAGGAAAGUGGAAUUCCUAGUGUAGCGGUGAAAUGCGUAGAUAUUAGGAAGAACACCAGUGGCGAAGGCGACUUUCUGGACGAAAACUGACGCUGAGGCGCGAAAGCCAGGGGAGCGAACGGGAUUAGAUACCCCGGUAGUCCUGGCCGUAAACGAUGGGUACUAGGUGUAGGAGGUAUCGACCCCUUCUGUGCCGGAGUUAACGCAAUAAGUACCCCGCCUGGGGAGUACGACCGCAAGGUGAAACUCAAAGGAAUUGACGGA
rnacentral:rRNA from 1 species